AUUGAACGCUGGCGGCAGGCCUAACACAUGCAAGUCGAAUGGUAACAGGAAACAGCUUGCUGUUUCGCUGACGAGUGGCGGACGGGUGAGUAAUGUCUGGGAAACUGCCUGAUGGAGGGGGAUAACUACUGGAAACGGUAGCUAAUACCGCAUAACGUCGCAAGACCAAAGAGGGGGACCUUCGGGCCUCUUGCCAUCAGAUGUGCCCAGAUGAGAUUAGCUAGUAGGUGGGGUAACGGCUCACCUAGGCGACGAUCCCUAGCUGGUCUGAGAGGAUGACCAGCCACACUGGAACUGAGACACGGUCCAGACUCCUACGGGAGGCAGCAGUGGGGAAUAUUGCACAAUGGGCGCAAGCCUGAUGCAGCCAUGCCGCGUGUAUGAAGAAGGCCUUCGGGUUGUAAAGUACUUUCAGCGGGGAGGAAGGGAGUAAAGUUAAUACCUUUGCUCAUUGACGUUACCCGCAGAAGAAGCACCGGCUAACUCCGUG
rnacentral:rRNA from 1 species